rnacentral:rRNA from 1 species
AAUGAACGCUGGCGGCAUGCUUUACACAUGCAAGUCGAACGGCAGCGCGGGCUUCGGCCUGGCGGCGAGUGGCGAACGGGUGAGUAAUGCAUCGGAACGUGCCCAGUAGUGGGGGAUAGCCCGGCGAAAGCCGGAUUAAUACCGCAUACGACCUGAGGGUGAAAGCGGGGGACCGAAAGGCCUCGCGCUAUUGGAGCGGCCGAUGUCGGAUUAGCUAGUUGGUGGGGUAAAGGCUUACCAAGGCGACGAUCCGUAGCUGGUCUGAGAGGACGACCAGCCACACUGGGACUGAGACGCGGCCCAGACUCCUACGGGAGGCAGCAGUGGGGAAUUUUGGACAAUGGGGGCAACCCUGAUCCAGCCAUGCCGCGUGCGGGAAGAAGGCCUUCGGGUUGUAAACCGCUUUUGUUCGGGAAGAAAUCCUCUGGGCUAAUACCCCGGGGGGAUGACGGUACCGGAAGAAUAAGCACCGGCUAACUACGUG